GUGCGCAUGGCCACCGUCCAUCGUUGGUCGUUCUGCGAUGUCUAGAAGCACGCAGCCUUCGUCUUCAUCUUCCUCGCCAUCGGAUCGAAGCCCAGGAGCACCGCCAACGCCGUCUUCUUCUUCCCCUUCGUACGCUUCGGUCGCUGGCCCUCUCCGUCGACUCUGACCGCCCUAUGCGCUUCCAAGCCCUCAACAGGCCUCCAUGUGCCUCCACGGUGAGCGCACCGUCCAGCCCCUCUCCCCUCUUACCUCCUCGUAAGCCAUAGCCCACCUUGCCGUUGUUGCUGGCCCUGGCCACAGUCGCCACGGCCGCGUCCGUCGAUGCGUUCCCCAACACCCCCCUGCUACGCUCGGGCCGCAUCAUGGCAGCUCCAGCCGCCCGCCCGCGCCGCUUCCCGGCUGCGCCCUGCUCGACCUGCUGCCACUGCCGGCCCCUAACGCUUGCAGCUGGCGCUGGGCGUCGUCAUCGUGGACGCCCUCGACGUCGCCACUGUAGCCAUAAUCCCCGUAGCUCGCGUACGAACCCCACAGCAAAGUCCUCAUGCUCCUAGGAGUCGAAUGCAGGCACACACGUGCCUCCCCAAGCCCCAUGGCCACGGAUCCGUUGGCGCCAACGCCGCCAUCGUGGAUGUCCUGCUCGACUCCGGCCGCCUCCGCUCGUUCCGGCGGGCUACCCGGUCCCGCUCACUACUGCUGGUGCUGCCCGCCUCCGCCGGCGGCCCGCGCUGCUUCCCCCCGACUAGUUGUUGCCGUUGCUGCGUUCCAUUGCAGCCGUCGCACAACUGCUCGCUGAUGGCAGCCUCGCCUGCCCUACUCACCCCCUUGCCGCUCCUCCUGCUGAAGGCAUCACCACGCCCCUGCUUUGCCUUGCGGCAACCUGUGCCCGCUGCUGUUGCCGCCUGCUACCACGGCUCUACGGAUGCAUCCUACUGCUGGUCGCUGACGCCGAUGCUAGCUAUUGUCGCUGCUAUUUUUCUGCUACUUGAUGUUGCCUGUAGUUGCCUUGCUGCUGCGAAUUACUGUAGCUACGUCUAGCUUUAUGAAUUUUAUAUUGACUAACCCCUUGACUGCCCCUAAACUGUGGUUAAACAAGUGUUAACAGGGGUAAAAAAAUUAUAGGAAGGUAGUACACUUGACAAUGCUCAAACGUGUCCAUUGGACCAAAUCCAUUUGCUGCAUAUAUUAAUUCUUACAAAAAUCAAAAAUUGAUAUCUUCUGCUAACAGAGAACAAUUUUAACCUCUCCUUGUGCUGUGUGUGGUGUGUGUGUGUGGCCGGCUUGGCCACGGCCCACUUCCGUGCGUGGCUGGCCCUUGUGUUAAUUAGGACUAAUUUAGUUUAGGAGUAUUUUAGUAUUAGUUUAGUCUUUAGAGCAAAUGACAUGUGGCCCCAUUUGACCCUGUUGACCAGUUAAUAGUUGAUUGGUCAAUUGCUGACUGGACACCCCUGGACCCCACCAGUCAGCCUCUGUCGCUAGCACAUGGCUGGGUACACUUGGUAUUUUCUGUUUAUUUGCAAAUUAAAAUAAAUGCCUAAAUCAUUUAAAACUUUGAUAAAAUCAUAGAAAAUAAACUGUAGCUCGGAUGAAAAGGUUUUCUACAUGAAAGUUGCUCAGAAUUUUGAGACGAAUCUGGAUACGCCCUCCGUUCGUCUGUCACACGACCCUAGCAUAGCAAACGUUGAACUUUUCCCUCCGGUUCAUCUGUUUGACAGACGACCGGAACUGGGAAAACUUUCCCGGAUGUCUCCCCCUUCGCCAGUAUCGCCUAGCGCUGCGUUAGAACACCUCUAGCUUCGCUUUUUUUGUCAUGUUAUGCAUAUGUUUGCAUGUAUUUAAUGUUUCUUCCCCCUCUUCUCUCCGAUAGACCCUGAAACUGCUGCUGAUGCCACCGUGAUCGACUACGUCGAUGACGACCCUCCUUGUCUGAGCAACCAGGAAAGCCCCCCCUUUGAUCAUCCCGAUAUCGCCCAUUCCAUUCUCUCAUGCUUGCAUUAGAUUUUGCUACUAUAUUUGAUUGCUCCUAUUCUGAUGCAUAGCCUGCUUUUGUACCUGCUAAUAAUACACUAUGGUUUGGGUAUUUGUUCCGAGUUGGCCUUUGGCCUUUACGCACCAACCACCACGUGAGAAUAGUUAUGGGCCUCGACGUCGUGGUAUCAGCCGAAGCUUUGUCAGCCGUCCAGUUCAGCAUUGCUGCACGGCCUGGUCGGCGCCCUAGUGGAGGUGGCCCGGAUCGCCCUGCGCGCAACGAUCCGGAGUGCAACGAGCGAUGGGCGCAGACCCCAGAGUGCUUAGGAUGUAGACCGGCGGGGACCUCUCUGCUGAGCCUAGGUAGGGCUGUGACGUGUUGAUCUUCCGAGGCUGGACAUUGACCCAGAAAAGUGUGUCCGUCCAAAGUGAUCGAGCGGGUUGGAAAACGUGGUGCACCCCUGCAGGGAAGAUUAUCUAUUAAUAGCUAUGUCCACGGUAAUGGACGUUCAGACUUAUAUCUUGAUCUUAUACAACUACAAAUGGAUACUUGAGAUAUGUGGCUCCGGGAUUGCUUUCUCGCAGGGAGUCAAGGAAGGAUCUCUGGGCAUUAAUGUUACAACAUGUUUGUUAAUUAUAAACGGCUAUUAUUUACUCUUCUACAUGCUGCAAGAUGCUUAGAGCUUCUUGAAGAUGCUAGUCUUCGAUAGGCUAGGCCUUCCCCUCUAUUCUAGCAUUUUGCAGUUCCGUCCACAGAUACAGCCCUUCCAUUUGAUACGAAUGCAUACUUAGUAUAGAUCUGAUGCUUGCGAGUACUUCAGAUGAGUACUCACGGUUGCUUUGCUCCUCCUUUCCCCCUUCUUUCUUCUUUCUGGUUGUUGCAACUAGAUGGUGGAUCCCAGGAGCCAAAUGAUGCCACCCCCGGCGACUACUACUACAUGGAGGCCGCCGAAGACCAGGAGUAGUUAGGAGGUCCCAGGCAGGAGGCCUUGCCUCUUCGAUCGUGUUGAUUUCGUGCUAGCCUUUUUAAG
rnacentral:lncRNA from 1 species